UCUGAAUGAUUUGGAUAGUGCUCUCAAUGCUAUUCCUGACUUGUGCUCGAAGGAGAGCUGGAAAGAAAUCGUCGAUUUGUUUCUGAGCCCAAAGUUUAUAGCGCGAUCCACGCAGAACAAGAAAAAUAGAAAGGAAAUGAAGUAUUUGUCGACGCAAGGCUCUAAAUCAAUGGCAGCGAUCCGUAACGAAUAUGAUGAACCUGAUGAGCAUGCUAUUGAUGCUUGGAAAGAUACUCAUAUAAAAAAAUCUACGAAGACUUGGGUUAGCGAAACUUGCAAAGAACUACAUGAACAAAUGACCCAAGAGAUGGAGAGGCAAAAUAUUCAAAGUAGUCGG